rnacentral:rRNA from 1 species
GACGAACGCUGGCGGCGUGCCUAACACAUGCAAGUUGAGCGACGAACCAGGGCUUGCCCUGGGGCAAAGCAGCGAACGGGUGAGUAACACGUGGGUAACCUACCCCGAUAACCGGGACAACCCGAGGAAACUCGGGCUAAUACCGGAUGUGCUCACUGGACUUCGGUUCAGUGCGUAAAGGAAGCUUCGGCCUCCGUAUCGGGAGGGGCCCGCGGCCCAUUAGUUUGUUGGUGAGGUAACGGCUCACCAAGACCGCGAUGGGUAGCUGGUCUGAGAGGACGAUCAGCCACACUGGGACUGAGACACGGCCCAGACUCCUACGGGAGGCAGCAGUGGGGAAUCUUGCGCAAUGCGCGAAAGCGUGACGCAGCAACGCCGCGUGGGGGAAGAAGGCCUUCGGGUUGUAAACCCCUUUCAGGAGGGACGAAGGUUCGGCGGUGAAUAGCCGUCCGGACUGACGGUACCUCCACAAGGAGCCCCGGCUAACUACGUG